rnacentral:rRNA from 1 species
GCCAACGUUCAUAUCACCUUGAAUGCACUAGUUCUCGUCCGAUCACUGAAUUUAAGCAACGUCGAGCGGGAAUAAUGGAUGGGUGACCGCUUGGGAACACCUCGUAGCUUUGACA